CAGUCGCCGCGGUAAGACAGAGGAUGCAAGCGUUAUCCGGGAUGAUUGGGCGUAAAGCGUCUGUAGGUGGCUUUUCAAGUCCGCCGUCAAAUCCCAGGGCUCAACCCUGGACAGGCGGUGGAAACUACCAAGCUGGAGUACGGUAGGGGCAGAGGGAAUUUCCGGUGGAGCGGUGAGAUGCGUUGAGAUCGGAAAGAACACCAACGGCGAGAGCACUCUGCUGGGCCGACACUGACACUGAGAGACGAAAGCUAGGGGAGCAAAUGGGAUUAGAUACCCCAGUAGUCCCUGUCUCUUAUAC
rnacentral:rRNA from 1 species